rnacentral:tRNA from 1 species
GCGGACGUGGCGGAACUGGAAUACGCUCACGGCUUAGGACCGUGUGUCGAAAGACUUGAGAGUUCAACUCUCUCCGUCCGCACCA